rnacentral:rRNA from 1 species
AAAAAUGAUCCCUANUACUGCGAGUGAAGAGGGACAGCUCAAAUUUUAAAUCCAUCGGGUUUUACCUGAUCGAGUUGUAAUUUGAAGAAGCGUUUUCUGCGUAUUUGGUCAGCCUAAGUCCUAUUGAAUGAGGCAUCAUGGAGGGUGAUAAUCCCGUCCGGUUGAUCAUUUGCGUUUUACGAUACGCUUUCUAAGAGUCAAGUUGUUUGGGAUUGCAGCUUAAAAUGGGAGGUAAAUUUCUCCUAAGGCUAAAUAACGGCGAGAGACCGAUAGCGAACAAGUACCGUGAGGGAAAGAUGAAAAGAACUUUGAAAAGAGAGUUAAACAGUACGUGAAAUUGUUGAAAGGGAAACGAUUGAAGCCAGUCGUACCUUCGGGUAAUCAGCCUUUCGGGUGCGAUUCUGUGGAGUUUGAGGAGCUUAACACCUUCAUGCUUUGCAUAUUCGUGCUCUUGGGUGUACUUGCCCGUGUGGUUGGUUAACAUCAAUUUCGGGCACCAUAAAAUGGCUGGAGGAAUGUAGCUUCGAUCCUGUAUUGAAGUGUUAUAGCCUUCGGUAGAUGUGGUGAUCGAGAUUGAGGAUUGCAACGGAUACCUUUCGGGGCUACCUGUCUGAUCUCUGAUCGUUGCUUUGGUGCUGAAAGCGUGCUUAUAGUUAUCAAAGUCGAUGGUCAAUAGGUUANAAUGGGUUAAAUUCGUNAAGGAUGUNGACGUA